AGAGUUUGAUCCUGGCUCAGGACGAACGCUGGCGGCGUGCUUAACACAUGCAAGUCGAACGGUUCAGUCGUCGGUCUUCAGACGUCGGACGUCGGGAUAGUAAGGAAUUCGCCUUAGCGAAUUCCAGAUUUAAAUCCCUGACGACUGCCGCCUGACGACCGACGACCGAAUAGUGGCGCACGGGUGAGUAACGCGUGGAUAACCUGCCUGGUAGACCGGGAUAACAGCUGGAAACGGCUGCUAAUACCGGAUACGCUUAAGAGAACGCAUGUUCUUUUAAGGAAAGCAAUGUGCUAUCAGAUGGAUCCGCGUCCCAUUAGCUAGUUGGUGGUGUAAGGGACCACCAAGGCGACGAUGGGUAGCCGGCCUGAGAGGCGACCGGCCACACUGGGACUGAGACACGGCCCAGACUCCUACGGGAGGCAGCAGUGGGGAAUCUUCCGCAAUGGGCGAAAGCCUGACGGAGCAACGCCGCGUGAGGGAAGAAGGCCUUCGGGUUGUAAACCUCUGUCAUCAAGGAAGAACAGAUGACGGUACUUGGAGAGGAAGCCCCGGCUAACUACGUGCCAGCAGCCGCGGUAAAACGUAGGGGGCGAGCGUUGUCCGGAAUUACUGGGCGUAAAGGGCGCGUAGGUGGUCCAUUAAGUUAGAGGUGAAAGAUCGGGGCUCAACCCCGAGAUUGCCUCUGAUACUGGUGGACUUGAGUGCAGGAGAGGGGAGCGGAAUUCCCAGUGUAGCGGUGAAAUGCGUAGAUAUUGGGAGGAACACCAGUGGCGAAGGCGGCUCUCUGGACUGUAACUGACACUGAGGCGCGAAAGCGUGGGGAGCGAACAGGAUUAGAUACCCUGGUAGUCCACGCCGUAAACGAUGAGUGCUAGGUGUUGCGGGUAUCGACCCCCGCAGUGCCGUAGUUAACACAAUAAGCACUCCGCCUGGGGAGUACGGUCGCAAGACUGAAACUCAAAGGAAUUGACGGGGGCCCGCACAAGCGGUGGAGUAUGUGGUUUAAUUCGACGCAACGCGAAGAACCUUACCAGGGCUUGACAUCCUCUGAAAGCCAUAGAGAUAUGGACCUUACUUCGGGGUAACAGAGAGACAGGUGGUGCAUGGUUGUCGUCAGCUCGUGUCGUGAGAUGUUGGGUUAAGUCCCGCAACGAGCGCAACCCCUAACAUUAGUUGCCAGCGAGUAAGGUCGGGAACUCUAAUGUGACUGCCGUUGACAAAACGGAGGAAGGUGGGGAUGACGUCAAAUCAUCAUGCCCCUUAUGUCCUGGGCUACACACGUACUACAAUGGCCGGUACAGACGGAAGCGAAGCCGUGAGGCGGAGCAAACUGAGAAAGCCGGUCCCAGUUCGGAUUGUAGUCUGCAACUCGACUACAUGAAGUCGGAAUCGCUAGUAAUCGCAGGUCAGCAUACUGCGGUGAAUACGUUCCCGGGCCUUGUACACACCGCCC
rnacentral:rRNA from 2 species